rnacentral:rRNA from 1 species
GUCAUAUGCUUGUCUCAAAGAUUAAGCCAUGCAUGUCUCAGUACAAGCCAAAUUAAGGUGAAACCGCGAAAGGCUCAUUAAAUCAGUUAUGGUUCCUUAGAUMGUACCCACAAUUACUUGGAUAACUGUGGUAAUUCUAGAGCUAAUACAUGCAAACAGAGCUCCGACCGGAGACGGAAGGAGUGCUUUUAUUAGAUCAAAACCAAUCGGUGGCGGGUGCGUUCGCGCGCUCUCGUCAUCGUACAACCUGGUGACUCUGAAUAACUUUACGCUGAUCGCACGGUCAUCGCACCGGCGACGCAUCUUUCAAAUGUCUGCCUUAUCAACUGUCGAUGGUAGGUUCUGCGCCUACCAUGGUCGUAACGGGUAACGGGGAAUCAGGGUUCGAUUCCGGAGAGGGAGCCUGAGAAACGGCUACCACAUCCAAGGAAGGCAGCAGGCGCGCAAAUUACCCACUCCCGGCACGGGGAGGUAGUGACDAAAAAUAACGAUACGGGACUCAUCCGAGGCCCCGUAAUYGGAAUGARUACACUCUAAACCCUUUAACGAGGAUCAAUUGGAGGGCAAGUCUGGUGCCA